AAUCAACGCUGGCGGCGUGCCUCAGACAUGCAAGUCGAACGCGAAAGUUCCCUUCGGGGAGCAAGUAGAGUGGCGCACGGGUGAGUAACACGUAGGUAAUCUACCUUCGGGUGGGGAAUAACAAUCGGAAACGGUUGCUAAUACCGCAUAAUGCAGCGGCACCUAAUGGUGACAGUUGUUAAAGCGGGGGAUCGCAAGAUCUCGCGCCUGAAGAGGAGCCUGCGGCGGAUUAGCUAGUUGGUAGGGUAAUGGCCUACCAAGGCGACGAUCCGUAGCCGGCCUGAGAGGGCGGUCGGCCACACUGACACUGACAUACGGGUCAGACUCCUAC
rnacentral:rRNA from 1 species